GGAUCUUUAGCUCAAAUGGUAGAGCACUUGAGAAUAUGAGUAAUGGAGUAUACAUCUAUUACAUCUCAAGAGAUGGUGGUUCAAGUCCACCAAGAUCCU
rnacentral:tRNA from 1 species